rnacentral:rRNA from 1 species
AUGAACGCUAGCGGUGCGCCUAACACAUGCAAGUCGAGCGUGAUUAUUUUGUAGCUUGCUAUAAAAUAUGAAAGCGGCGAACGGGUGAGUAACACGUUGGUAUCUGCCCUCUGGUCAGGGAUAGCCAGGAGAAAUCCUGAUUAAUACCGGAUAGUCUCGAAAGAGUAAAGAUUUAUCGCUUAAGGAGGAGCCUUCAUUCUAUCAGUUAGUUGGUGAGGUAAUGGCUUACCAAGACUAUGACAGAUAGCUGGUCUGAGAGGAUGAUCAGCCACAAUGGAACUGAGACACGGUCCAUACUCUUACGGGAGGCAGCAGUGAGGAAUCUUCCACAAUGGACGAAAGUCUGAUGGAGCGACACCGCGUGAAGGAUGAAGGUCUAACGACUGUAAACUUCUUUUCUGAAGGAGCAUAAUGAGAGUACUUCAGGAAUAAGCACCGGCAAAACUCGU